CAGCAGCCACGGAAUACGAAGGGGGCUAGCGUUGCUCGGAAUUACUGGGCGUAAAGGGAGCGUAGGCGGACAUUUAAGUCAGGGGUGAAAUCCCAGAGCUCAACUCUGGAACUGCCUUUGAUACUGGGUGUCUUGAGUGUGAUAGAGGUAUGUGGAACUCCGAGUGUAGAGGUGAAAUUCGUAGAUAUUCGGAAGAACACCAGUGGCGAAGGCGACAUACUGGAUCAUUACUGACGCUGAGGCUCGAAAGCGUGGGGAGCAAACAGGAUUAGAUACCCGAGUAGUCCCUGUCUCUUAUACA
rnacentral:rRNA from 1 species